rnacentral:rRNA from 1 species
UACGAAGGGGGCUAGCGUUGCUCGGAAUGACUGGGCGUAAAGGGCGCGUAGGCGGUUUGUACAGUCAGAUGUGAAAUUCCUGGGCUCAACCUGGGGGCUGCAUUUGAUACGUGCGGACUUGAGUGAGGAAGAGGGUCGUGGAAUUCCCAGUGUAGAGGUGAAAUGCGUAGAUAUUAGGAGGAACACCAGUGGCGAAGGCGGCUUUCUGGACGAUAACUGACGCUGAGGCACGAAAGCGUGGGGAGCAAACAGG